GGGGAGGGCUUCUGUUGUGAGUGGCACACACACGGCAGCUCGAUGGCUCUUUAGGUGGAAUCAACAUCAAGAGAUUUCAGAAGCAUAAUUUUUUGGUGGGCAGCUGAUGAUCGUUGGUCCUGGCGCCCCU
rnacentral:snRNA from 1 species